rnacentral:rRNA from 1 species
GGAAGUAAAAGUCGUAACAAGGUUUCCGUAGGUGAACCUGCGGAAGGAUCAUUACUGAUUUAGCGAACCGAGCGUUAGCGAGGUUUUGCGAUCACUUAUAUUUAAAACCCACUCUUUGAACGUAUAAAAUUUUAUGUAUUAAUGAUAAAAAUAAAAGAUCACUUUCAACAACGGAUCUCUUGGCUCUCGCAUCGAUGAAGAACGUAGCGAAGUGCGAUAAGUAAUGUGAAUUGCAGUAUUCCGUGAAUCAUCGAACCUUUGAACGCAUAUUGCACUUUCUGGUAUUCCGGAAAGUAUGCCUGUUUGAGGGUCAGUUAAAUAAAAAUCGGUGUUGUUGCCGCUUUCCGUGGUGACGCGUCGGAAUUGAGUCGUCUUCGGUUAAGUGACUUAAAAUUUUAUAUGAUUUUCGAACGUAUUUAAAUUUAUUUGAACGUUUGAUAUCGAAUGCUUAUUAGGUUCGGUCAUCCUCAUGACUCGCGCCUAUAAUUUUUCAUUAAAUGACCUCAAAUCAGGUAAGAAUACCCGCUGAACUUAAGCAUAUCAAUAAGCGGAGGA